rnacentral:rRNA from 1 species
GCGGGAAACGAUCGAUCACUUCUGGUACCAACCGUCACCCCCACCGGGUUCCCUUCUUGGGGGCCCACAGGGCGCCGGUCCCCUGUCAGGGGCUCCUCGGAGCCGCUUUCAGGUCCGGCGGGCGUCUCCCUUGGCUUCACCGGCCCGGGGCUGGCGUCGGUAAUUUGUAUCCAACCCCUCAACACACCCCAAAUCACAAACUUCACUGAAGCAACCUGUGGUUCAGUCCUGUCCUGUCCACUCAAACCAAAGACAACUCUCAACAACGGAUAUCUUGGCUCCCGUAUCGAUGAAGAACGCAGCGAAAUGCGAUACGUAGUGUGAAUUGCAGAAUUCCGUGAACCAUCGAAUCUUUGAACGCAAAUUGCGCCCGAGGCUUCGGCCAAGGGCAUGUCUGCCUCAGCGUCGGUUUACACCCUCGCCCUCCCCUCCCCCUUUGGGUGAGCGGGUAGGGCGGACCUGGCCCUCCCGGCUCCGCUCUUGCUUGCAAGCUGCGUCCGGGUUGGCUGAAGCAUAGAGGCUUGAGCAUGGACCCCGUUUGCAGGGUAAUGGCUUGGUAGGUAGGCACCCCCUACGCAACCUGCCGUUUCCCGAGGGGACUUUGCUGGCGGCCCAGCAGGAAUCGGCGCUUCAAACCCGCCGAAGCUUUCAAACCUUCGACCUGAGCUCAGGCAAGACUACCCGCUGAACUUAAGCAUAUAA